GGUUUAUGUUGGGCAGUUGAUCCGCGUUAUGCGGGUAGGAAAGUCCGAACACCACAGAGCAUGGUGCCGGGUAACACCCGGGGUCUCUUUGUUGGGACACGGAAAGUGCCACAGAAAAAAUACCGCCCCGAUUUAGUUCGGGGUAAGGGUGAAAAGGCGAGGUAAAAGCUCACCGCGUUAAUGGUAACAUUAAUGGCAGGGCAAACCCCACCUGGUGCAAGGUCAAGCAGAAGGUUCUCCCGAUACAUUGUCGUAAGACAAAAAUAUCGGGAGAGGAGUUGCUCGCUUCAAAUCCUUCGGGUAGACCGCAAGAUUACAGCAGUAAUGCUGUGGCUAGAUAAAUAAUUGCCAUCCUAUCUUUGGUAGGAUACAGAAUUCGGCUUAUAGACAUAAGCCAUCU
rnacentral:RNase_P_RNA from 1 species